CUCCUUUACAGUCAAGUCUAGGAGUAUGGGAGAACUGUAGACCACCAAAACAUAAAAGGUGUUUUAGGUGUUUCUGGACUUUGAGGUAAAAUUGAUAUUUUCGGCCUUUGAAUAAUUAGUUUAUUCCAUUAGCUGGCUUAAUUAUAUCACAGGCAGAGGGGAGGGAUUGUUGACUGUAUGUGGGAGUGUUAAUUACUGUUCCGAUCAGUGAGGAUGAC